GUCAGUUUGUCAACCUUUUGAAACCUUUAUUUGACCAGUACAGUAAUACAUUUUCAGCUCCACUCUGACACAGUUGACCACAUUCGCACCUGGAAGCUGCCUAAUAAAACCCCAGUCUGGUAGUAAAGACCCUGCUCAAGGGCACCUCUGUUUCACUUUCCUCACCCAAAUGUAUUUUACUGGUCCAGGAAUCAAAGCUUGUAUUUUAAUGUUUUCUGAUUUGAUUAUUAAUUACAUUAAUUGUAUUUGCUGUAUUACUGAGUUCUGUUUUCAUGUAUAGAUCAUCAGUCAUUGGAAUUCUUGUAUGAAGUGCUGGGAAUAACAGGUCCUGGUUAAUCCCUCUCUAAGCUGCUGUCACAUGAGGUCUAACUGUGAGAGAGCAGGAGAACAGAGAGAAUCCUGAUCUCUUCGGUCAGUAAGGAGGUCCUUGGCCUACAGAAAUGCCGUUGAGUGGCAGAGGAAGCCAAACACCACCAUGACAGUUGCUGGCGUCAGGAUGGUACCAAACACCAGUCCAGCAAGGCAGGCGUUGAUCGUG